GAUAGAGGACCACGCUGGCCUGUAACUCAACAAAGAGUAGCCUGCCUCAGCUUCCCAAGUGUUGAGAUUAAAGUCAAUACGUUUGGAAGCAUGGCAAACCACAGUAACACCCAGCAGGGAUAUAGUGGCACUAGUAUUAGUCACUAUUCUCCUGCCUUGAGGAUAUUGGACCGCCUGGCAUAAAUGAGAUGAAGAAAUGUCACAUUCUCCUGAGUGUUCCAGUCUCUCCAAGAAGUGACACUAGACCUUGAAUGCCAUGAGACACUUGGAUCUUCCCAAUAAACUCCUCCAGUUUCUUUACUUUUUUCCUCAAGAGAACAUUCUUCUAGAAUAUAUUUUUGACCUCUGCAACCAGAAGAUGAUUAUAACACCCAGAAAGAGACAGAUGUUAGUAUGAGAAGUCUAGUGUCAGAGAUUCAAAUGCACCUUAUUUCUAUGAAAA